UCCCGUUUAGCUCAGUUGGUAGAGCGCGUCACUAGUAACCAAAUGCUAUGACGAGGUCAGUCGUUCGAGUCGGCUAAUGGGAA